GACGAACGCUGGCGGCGUGCUUAACACAUGCAAGUCGAGCGGUAAGGCCCUUUCGGGGGUACACGAGCGGCGAACGGGUGAGUAACACGUGGGUGACCUGCCCUCAGCUCUGGGAUAAGCCUGGGAAACUGGGUCUAAUACUGGAUAUGACUCCACGGUGCAUGUCGUGGGGUGGAAAGCCUUGUGCGGCUGAGGAUGGGCCCGCGGCCUAUCAGCUUGUUGGUGGGGNGAUGGCCUACCAAGGCGACGACGGGUAGCUGGUCUGAGAGGAUGAUCAGCCACAUUGGGACUGAGACACGGCCCAAACUCCUACGGGAGGCAGCAGUGGGGAAUAUUGGACAAUGGGCGAAAGCCUGAUCCAGCCAUGCCGCGUGAGUGAUGAAGGCCUUAGGGUU
rnacentral:rRNA from 1 species